GAUGAACGCUAGCGGCAGGCUUAAUACAUGCAAGUCGAGGGACAGCACAGGUAGCAAUACUGGGUGGUAACCGGCAAACGGGUGCGGAACACGUACACAACCUUCCUUUAAGUGGGGGAUAGCCCAGAGAAAUUUGGAUUAAUACCCCGUAAUAUAGUUGAAUGGCAUCAUUUGAUUAUUAUAGCUACGGCGCUUAAUGAUGGGUGUGCGGCUGAUUAGAUAGUUGGCGGGGUAACGGCCCACCAAGUCUACGAUCAGUAGCUGAUGUGAGAGCAUGAUCAGCCACACGGGCACUGAGACACGGGCCCGACUCCCACGGGAGGCAGCAGUAAGGAAUAUCGGUCAAUGGACGCAAGUCUGAACCAGCCAUGCCGCGUGAAGGAUUAAGGUCCUCUGGAUUGUAAACUUCUUUUAUUUGGGACGAAAAAGGGCCUUUCUAGGUCAACUGACGGUACCAGAUGAAUAAGCACCGGCUAACUCCGUGCCAGCCGCCGCCGUAAUAC
rnacentral:rRNA from 1 species